rnacentral:rRNA from 1 species
UACGAAGGGGGCUAGCGUUGUUCGGAAUUACUGGGCGUAAAGCGCGCGUAGGCGGUUUGUUAAGUCGGAUGUGAAAUCCCCGGGCUCAACCUGGGAACUGCACCCGAUACUGGCCGACUUGAGUGCGAGAGAGGGAGGUAGAAUUCCACGUGUAGCGGUGAAAUGCGUAGAUAUGUGGAGGAAUACCGGUGGCGAAGGCGGCCUCCUGGCUCGACACUGACGCUGAGGUGCGAAAGCGUGGGGAGCAAACAGG